rnacentral:rRNA from 1 species
UGGGGAAUAUUGCACAAUGGGCGCAAGCCUGAUGCAGCAACGCCGCGUGAACGAUGAAGGUCUUCGGAUCGUAAAGUUCUGUUGCAGGGGAAGAUAAUGACGGUAUCCUGUGAGGAAGCCCCGGCUAACUACGUGCCAGCAGCCGCGGUAAUACGUAGGGGGCUAGCGUUAUCCGGAUUUACUGGGCGUAAAGGGUGCGUAGGUGGUCUUUCAAGUCGGUGGUUAAAGGCUACGGCUCAACCGUAGUUAGCCUCCGAAACUGGAAGACUUGAGUGCAGGAGAGGGAAGUGGAAUUCCCAGUGUAGCGGUGAAAUGCGUAGAUAUUGGGAGGAACACCAGUAGCGAAGGCGGCUUUCUGGGCUGCAACUGACACUGAGGCACGAAAGCGUGGGUAGCAAACAGG